AACACCUCAAAGCCUUUUUUCUUUUUUGAAGAAAGACUUUGGACUUGAGCAAUCCCAACACUAAUCUCUUGAGAUUGGAGGCGGGUUGCUUGAAAUGCAGGUGCAGCUGGACUUUCUCCUGAGCUAAAAGCAUAUUCAUUUAGUCCCGUCAAACGGAUUAUUACUUUUGCUGCAGCUAACAUAAAGGGAGUUUGACCAUUUUGGCUGACUGAUGCAGGAUUUUCACAAGAGUCUUCAAAAACCCUUGUUAA
rnacentral:misc_RNA from 1 species